UACACGUGUCCAGUUGCUCUGCACAUGCGAAAGGUCCUUCUCCUCGGAAGGGCACCUUGGCUUUGGGGGUGGGGGUGGGGAGCCGCUUUGGGAGGCGGCGGCGAAGAAAGAGAGUGCCGUCGAACAAGGUCGCCGUCUGUAAGGUGCGAAACCCAGUGGGAACACGGAGGGAAGCCCAGAUCCCAAGGCAAGGUUGGGUUGGGGGCGAAGGGGGAGCCCUCGAGGUCCCCAUCCCCGGGAGGGGGCAGAAACAGACCCUUGGAGGGGGUGGGUGGGCUUACCCCCUUCCGUGGGGCGGGUGGUGCACAGAGACAGAGAGAGCGCUCUAGCAGGAAAGCGUCACGUGUGGACCCACGCACCCGUGAU